AGAGUUUGAUCCUGGCUCAGGAUGAACGCUGGCGGCACGCCUAACACAUGCAAGUCGAACGCACUUUUUUGAACUCUAAUCUCGAUACUCUAAAAAAGUUUCAAGAUACGGAGUCCGAAAUUGUGAGUGGCGGACGGGUGAGUAACACGUUGGAACCUGCCCCGAAGAGGGGGAUAACUACCCGAAAGGGUGGCUAAUACCCCAUAUACUCCGAUUUAUUCGGAGGAAAGCUUUUGCGCUUCGGGAGGGGCCUGCGUAACAUUAGCUAGUUGGUGAGGUAAAAGCUCACCAAGGCGACGAUGUUUAGCUGGUUUGAGAGGAUGAUCAGCCACACUGGGACUGAGAUACGGCCCAGACUCCUACGGGAGGCAGCAGUGAGGAAUAUUCCACAAUGGGGGAAACCCUGAUGGAGCGAUGCCGCGUGCAGGAAGACGCUUUUCGGAGUGUAAACUGCUUUUAAUAGGGAAGAUUAUGACGGUACCUAUAGAAAAAGGACCGGCUAACUACGUGCCAGCAGCCGCGGUAAUACGUAGGGUCCAAGCGUUAUUCGGAAUUACUGGGCGUAAAGCGUACGUAGGCGGUUUGGUAAGUUGGAUGUGAAAUCCCCCUGCUCGACGGGGUGGACUGUGUCCAAAACUACCUAACUAGAGCAUAGUAGAGGCAAGUGGAAUUUGCGGUGUAGGAGUGACAUCCGUAGAUAUCGCAAGGAACACCAAUGGCGAAGGCAGCUUGCUGGGCUAUUGCUGACGCUCAGGUACGAAAGCGUGGGGAGCGAACGGGAUUAGAUACCCCGGUAGU
rnacentral:rRNA from 1 species